UACGUAGGGUGCAAGCGUUAAUCGGAAUUACUGGGCGUAAAGCGUGCGCAGGCGGCUAUGCAAGACAGAUGUGAAAUCCCCGGGCUCAACCUGGGAACUGCAUUUGUGACUGCAUGGCUAGAGUACGGUAGAGGGGGAUGGAAUUCCGCGUGUAGCAGUGAAAUGCGUAGAUAUGCGGAGGAAUACCGAUGGCGAAGGCAGCCUCCUGGGCCAACACUGACGCUCAUGCACGAAAGCGUGGGGAGCAAACAGG
rnacentral:rRNA from 1 species